GGAGGAAGGAGGGAAGGAGGCGCGGCGGGUGGGCGAGCGCCGCCGCGUGCCGGCCCCGCAGCAAAAAUAACUCCCCGUUAUUUAUGGGUUUUUUCAACUUCCAGCCCUGAAAUGAGCUAAUUUGCCGGGCCCCGAGGCGGCUCGCAUUCCUCCGGCAUCUUUAGCAUCGGCACCAUAUUUGGCAGUCGGCAUCCCUCAAGGCCGAGCUCUUAUCCAGAGGGAUUAGUGGAGCCAAAAAAAAAAAAAAGUUUUACAUUGGGAAUAAGGACAAGGAAAAAAACAACCCCAAACCAAAAUGCAGGGAGAACUCGGGAGGAAUUGGUGAACCAGCUCCACACAGUUCUGCCUGUGACUAUUUUCAGGUAACUUCAAAAGUUGCUAGAAGAAAGUGAAAUUUGCUUUUUUCUUUUGCAGACUUAGCUGGGAUUUUUCCUGCUGAAUAAACAGAAGAGGCUGGAAAUGCUGUUUCUCACUUGUGUCUAAGGCUCAAGUCCUCCUGGAUGGCCCUGAGAAAGAUAAGCUAUCUCUCCCAUCUCCCAGCCUGGGAGCAGCAAACAUUCCUACUUUGUGGAACAAAACCUCUGGCUGACCUAUAUCUAUUAAAUAACAAAAGACAGGUCCUCCUGAGCACGGCUGCUGUCUAGGGAAUCAGCUCUCCAGACACAUCCACCCUCCAGGAAGUCUGCUCUUCAUCUCUGCUACUCUCCUCCUCCUUGGAAAUCAUGUCCCUUUCACCUUUGCAUCUCACCAUCCCGUUCUGCUGUCCCUGAAAUCCUGUCUCGUCUUGGGCCAGUUAAAGGGAUUCUGGAAAGGAUCUGCGGAGAUUUGCUGGGAUGGUCAGGGCUGAGGACAUGCAAGGAGAGGCAAAGAUUUGGGACAGGAGAAGAUUGGCAUCUCCAGAGCAUGGAUCAAGGGUGACCCCAGCAUGGAGAGGUCCGUGAUGGAGCUCCAGCAGCCCUCCUCCUCCUCUUCACGUGAAGCCACAAGCCAGGAUUGUCUCCUGAAGGUAAGGAGGCACCAGGGAGGAAUUUUCUUGGCUGGGACCCCCAUCAGAAGGCGGUGCCCGGAGGGAUGCCAGGUGCUGCAGCGGCAGUGCCCUGCCGGAUACCCCUGGUCCCGGUCCCCUGCCCUGCCCUGCCCUGCCCAAACCACCCCCGGGUAAACGUUAACAGGCCGUGGGGAAGCGGGAGGCGUCCGGGUGAUUCAUCCACGAGGUAUUUAAUCGCCUCCUUCAGCCCAGCUCCCGUCCCUCGUCCGUCCGUGCGCCCCUUGCAGCGGGGCUCGCUUUAAUUCUCCACCAGCCGAUUAUCCGCUUGGCUGCCCGCCGCCGGGGAGGCACCGGCUCCCGGCGGGAGCGGAGGGCGAUGGCACGGGGCUGCCAUGGAGCCGCGGAACAGGGCGAGCAGGGCUUCCCCUCCCAUUCCCGGCAAAGCGGGGUGCUGCCUCCCCCGCGGCGGGGUGCAUCCCCGCCCCGCCGGGAUUAGUCCUGGCAUAAAUAGUCUCUUGGCUAAUGGAGCGUCUUCCUCGGCUGGGUUUAGAUUCCCGUGCUGUGUGUACGCAUGCCUUCAGCCCGCAAAACUCCCCGACAUAAACAAGGCUGAGGCCGAGGGAUGCCGGCUCCUCCGCCCGGGGGAUGCGGGAGGACCGGGAUGAAUCUCCGGCCUCGCCCCCCGUUUCUCUGAAAAACCACGGUUCUCUCACGUCCGGGAAGGACAGCAGGAGCAGCCCUUGGGGAAAAGCGAGUUCAGAGCUGCCGGGGCUGGAACGAGGAAGCGGCAGAGGAAAAGGCAGCAUCUCCACAAAAAGCUCUGGCUGGACAGCGGGUGGGACAAUAUUCACAACCCUUAUUUGGGCUCAGCUUUGAGGAAGAGCUGCAGUUCCCCAGCAGCGCUGGAAGCCAGGAAUUUCUGCUGCACCGAUGUCCAUCUGUGCUGGGACACAACGCUGGACUGUGUCAUACAGGGAUAGAAGGGGAAGUUGUGAACAGCUGGAGACUCUGGGAGGAUGGCUGGGAAGUGUGGGAGCCCCGAGGCUCCAGUGGAACAAAUGGACCAGGUUCAGCUCUGCUCUGGGUCCUCUGGGAGGGAACCCGAGCAGGAGCAGCCUUCGGGGGAAAGGACAGAGGGUGGCAGCGGGCGCGUGGGGCCUUUCCCACCGCAGGGCCCGU